rnacentral:rRNA from 1 species
GACGAACGCUGGCGGCGUGCUUAACACAUGCAAGUCGAACGGAAAGGCCCUGCUUUUGUGGGGUGCUCGAGUGGCGAACGGGUGAGUAACACGUGAGUAACCUGCCCUUGACUUUGGGAUAACUUCAGGAAACUGGGGCUAAUACCGGAUAGGAGCUCCUGCUGCAUGGUGGGGGUUGGAAAGUUUCGGCGGUUGGGGAGGGACUCGCGGCUUAUCAGCUUGUUGGUGGGGUAGUGGCUGACCAAGGCUUUGACGGGUAGCCGGCCUGAGAGGGUGACCGGCCACAUUGGGACUGAGAUACGGCCCCGACUCCUACGGGAGGCAGCAGUGGGGAAUAUUGCACAAUGGGCGGAAGCCUGAUGCAGCAACGCCGCGUGCGGGAUGACGGCCUUCGGGUUGUAAACCGCUUUCGCCUGUGACGAAGCGUGACUGACGGUAAUGGGUAAAGAAGCACCGGCUAACUACGUG